rnacentral:lncRNA from 1 species
UUAGUUUUGUUCUUUCAAUAUAUUUGUUUGUAUUGUAAACUCAAUCUUUACAUUUUAAGUUUUGGGUAUUCAAUUUUAUUUUCUUUGCAUUAAUCAAAUUCCACAAGAUCUUCUGUUUUCAUAUCAUCAGAUUGAGCAAACUCAUAUUAUAUCAGUUAAGCUCUCUUUUGAUCGUAUUUAAGAUUAACUUGCAUGCUUUUGUUCCUCUUGUUGGAUAUGGCGACGAUAAGUACUACGAGUUCUUCAGUAUUGGUUCUUCCAUUCCAGAAAGCAUUUACCGAUUUCAUGUUGGACAAUGGAUACGGAUUCUCUUUGAACGUAUACGUGGAAAUCUAUCUUUUUUGAAGGGCGUAAUUUUUGAACAUUCUUGAAAUUCAUCACCUUCAAGAUAUAUCAUCGACAACUCCAUAACGAUUCCUGCUAAGAAACAUGCAGACGGGUUAAUUAACCCAAAGUAUGCUACAUGGAAGGAGAAGAAUUGUACGUUAUCCUUAUUGCGACGGUAUUCAAUCAAUCUGGGAUCGAUAAUCUGUAUUUUCA